rnacentral:rRNA from 1 species
UAAGACGAACCGUGCGAACGUUGUUCGGAAUCACUGGGCUUAAAGGGCGCGUAGGCGGAUCAGCAAGUCCGGGUUGAAAUCCUUCGGCUUAACCGAAGAACUGGCUUGGAUACUGUUGAUCUCGAGGGAGGCAGGGGCAGUUGGAACUUCCGGUGGAGCGGUGAAAUGCGUUGAUAUCGGAAGGAACGCCGGUGGCGAAAGCGAACUGCUGGACCUCUACUGACGCUGAGGCGCGAAAGCCAGGGGAGCAAACGGGAUUAGAUACCCCGGUAGUCCUGGCCCUAAACGUUGGGUACUAGGUUGUGGACUAGACAUGGGUUCACAGCCGAAGCAAAAGUGCUAAGUACCCCGCCUGGGGAGUAUGGUCGCAAGGCUG